GCUAGUUGUGCGAGUUCAUACUCGCAGCGUAUAGCUCAGUAACACGUGGCCAAACUACCCUACAGACAGGAACAACCUCGGGAAACUGAGGCUAACACCUGAUACGCGUUGACUGUUUGAAGACGUCGACGUUCAAACGCUCCGGCGCUGUAGGAUGUGGCUGCGGCCGAUUAGGUAGACGGUGGGGUAACGGCCCACCGUGCCGAUAAUCGGUACGGGUUGUGAGAGCAAGAGCCCGGAGACGGAAUCUGAGACAAGAUUCCGGGCCCUACGGGGCGCAGCAGGCGCGAAACCUUUACACUGCACGCCAGUGCGAUAAGGGAACCCCGAGUGAAAGGGCAUAUCGCCCUUUCUUUUCUGAACCGUAGGGAGGUUCAGGAACAAGAGCUGGGCAAGACCGGUGCCAGCCGCCGCGGUAAUACCGGCAGCUCAAGUGAUGACCGAUUUUAUUGGGCCUAAAGCGUCCGUAGCUGGCCGCGCAAGUCUGUCGGGAAAUCCACCCGCUUAACGGGUGGGCGUCCGGCGGAAACUGUGCGGCUUGGGACAGGAAGGCUCGAGGGGUACGUUCGGGGUAGGAGUGAAAUCCCGUAAUCCUGAACGGACCACCGAUGGCGAAAGCACCUCGAGAGGACUGAUCCGACAGUGAGGGACGAAAGCUGGGGUCUCGAACCGGAUUAGAUACCCGGGUAGUCCCAGCCGUAAACGAUGUUCGCUAGGUGUGACACUCACUACGAGUGAGUGUUGUGCCGCAGGGAAGCCGCUAAGCGAACCGCCUGGGAAGUACGUCCGCAAGGAUGAAACUUAAAGGAAUUGGCGGGGGAGCACUACAACCGGAGGAGCCUGCG
rnacentral:rRNA from 1 species